GGAUAGAUCCAUGAUUUGAUUCGUCCCCGCACGUGCGGCUCGGUGACGGUGACUUGUCACUCGAUUGCAUUGGUCAUCAACCGUCUUUUUUACAUGACCACGGAAUCAAAAACAUAAACAACAGCAAAUGAGUGGCGUGUUAUUAUCGAAAACACAGGGUAACUAGGCUUGGAGGUUUGGAGAGGGAAAGAGAAGAGCAAAUGAUUGGGAGUAGGAGAAGGGAGUCGUCAUGAGCAAGAGGAAGCAAGAGGGUUGCAGAGACAUUCGGCAAUGUUUUGCCUCGUCUCAGAAAAGAAGAAAAGUAACUAAAGAGGGGAUGAAAGCAGUGUGUGUCAAUCUGGUAGUGACAUAGAGAGUAGAGCUAGUGAGCCAGCGGGAGAGACAGAAAGUUUGGAGGAUGAAAGCACAGGGAGAGUUUGUCAAUCUAGUGGUGGCAUAUAGGUGAGUCGCCUAAGAGAGGAGUAAAUAUGAAAGGUUAAGACCGAAUCAUGUCAUUCACGUAGAAUCCUGUUAACACACAUGUAUAUAGUGUAGGGUUGUCAAAAAAGAUUAUACUCAGAUACUAAUCGAUCAAAAUUAAAAAAAAUAAUAUCGGAUUAGAUACUUAUGUGCAACAUUAUCGAUACUAAAAUCGCUGUCUUCAUCAUCUUCAUCUCUUUUUUUCUCGCCUCCUUCAGUUGACACACAACUCUACACAGCAGCGUUGCAGUUGCUAAUAUAGCAAUAUAAUAAUUAUUAAGUCAAGUUUCAUUCAAGGUUACAAAACAUUGUAUAAUGUAUGUAUUCAUAGAUUAAUCCAUAACUACCGUAAUCAGAAAACAUUUAGGUUAUGUCCUUGACAUGUCUAAUUCUUUAACAGUGCAUCAUUCAAUACGGCUAAUGGUUUCACCAUGAGAAUAGCUCAGUGUGCUCUCUCGUGAAACUAUCGUGAAACUAUCUAUGUACUUAUUAAACAAGUGGAUGAAAAUAUCAGAAAAUCUAUAUUUUCUGAGGGGUAACAAAAGUUUUGGGGUGACUUCUAUUUAGGUCCAUGAGAAAGAUGCACCUGGGUGGGUUUUACUCAGCAUUGGCAAAUGUGAUGGUUAUGCAAUAAAAAAUGUAAUGGAAGUAAGAACUGGCUGG
ensembl:lncRNA